CAUCUUCUCUACAAAACCCAAGAUCUCCAACAAAGAAAACAUCAACAAUUAUUUUCUCAUUGAACAAACCCAUUACUUCACGUAUGGUUCUUCUUCGUUUUAUCUUGUUCGAUUAGAUUUAAUGUUCUUGUAAGAUUCUAGGGUUUUCACAAAAAAAAUCCGAUUUGGGAAGAUUGUUGUAAAGAUUUUAGGGUUUUAAGUGAAAUUGGGGAUUAUUUUUUGAAUCUGGAAUUUGUUAUGGAUUUUGAUUUCUUUGUGUUCUUUGUGAUUUCAGUAUUGUGGAAGGUCUUACCCAGAUUCACAACUGGCAAUGCUUCCAUCGUAUAUGUCAUCUGAUAUCAAUUUGGGAGAAUCCCAAAAUCUUGGCCUCAUCCUUGUUCAGGAUAACAACAUACAAAUCAUUCCAAAGGCACAAGAAAAUCGUUUCUCUUCUGCUUGAAUGUGAGAUUGUAACUGAUCCUAAAGUUCAAGAUACUGGAAUUAUAUUGAAGCCAAAGCAAGAUGCUGGAAUUAUAUUGAGGCCGAAACAAGGAAUUGCUGCUUAAUCUGCAGCUCAGAUUGUGCAUGAACAACCUCAAAGUUUCUCAGAGUAUUGGCUCAACUUCUUGCGUGAGAACGAGAGGAGUUCAAGACUGGAUAACCAGAUUUCCUGGGAUAGAUAAAGAGAAUAUGCUGAUUUUGAAGGUGAUGUCAGUGCUUUGUUCCAUCUGCUGAUAACUUGGACAGACAAGGUCGGAUAAAGCAUUCUACCGACAGAACCUCCCAAACGUGACAAAUUUGUGAACAACAAUCUUGAUCUUCCCAAAUUCCAAGGGUCCGACAUUGUCCUACCAGUUAGCAAAGAAUGCUCGUGGACAACAGGGUUCACAUCUUAUUAAGUUGUUCUACACCUCUAACAUGCCCAUCAUUCUGCAGUUUGCUCUUGUAUACAACCUUUACCUUAUCUCCCAGAUAUGGUUGCUUCCAAUCCUUUCCAUCCAAUUUUGUAUCUUGUAUUUAUGCCGACUUGGAUUGAAGUGUCUGGAUCCUCAUUUAGAGAUGUGGCUAAACAGCUCCAGGACAUUAGGAUAUCAACAAUACCUUCGUCAUUUUUCCUUAGCUUUUUUUUUUGAGGAACUUCAGGAAAGAAGCGGUUGAAUGUGCAUAUGUUGAUAAAUCAAAACCACUGAAUGAUGACUAUUAUCACUUCAUGAUUGAUGAAAUUAUGGAUGCAAGUGUGAUGUUAUGCGAUAAAAAUGGAGUACUUGGAGAUGUUUCAAGAGGUGACAUAGUGUCCCAAAGCUUAUGUAAUUUCUUAGAGUGACAGUAGAUUGAAUUUAAUUUUAAUGAUUAUGUGAAUGUAGAUUGAAUUCGCUUUUAGAGUUUAAUAUGUAUUCAGAUAUUCUUUC